rnacentral:pre_miRNA from 1 species
CCAAUACUCCCUCCGUCCGGAAUUACUUGUCAUCAAAAUGGAUGUGUCUAGAACUAAAAUACAUCUAGAUACAUCCAUUUCAAUGACAAGUAUUUUCGGACGGAGGGAGUACAAG